AUACCAAAUAAAUCUUUCACAAGUGUUCUGUAGAGGUUUCAACAGGCUUACAUAUUUCAAGGGAAGUGCAAUUGAUAUACCCAUAAAUUACUCAUAUUUAAUGAUGAAUAAUGAGUUUGUUUCUGCAAUAUUGGCAGAAAAAUAAUAUGAUUGUAAAUUGUUGCUUAUUUAGACACCAUGUUGUGACAUGUUUUAUCACAUGGAUAAGCACAGUCAAUCGCCUUCAUUCCUUCUCUAUCAAAA
rnacentral:misc_RNA from 1 species